rnacentral:rRNA from 1 species
AACGAACGCUGGCGGCAGGCUUAACACAUGCAAGUCGAGCGCCCCGCAAGGGGAGCGGCAGACGGGUGAGUAACGCGCGGGAGUCUACCCAUCUCUACGGAAUAACGCAUGGAAACGUGUGCUAAUACCGUAUACGUCCUUCGGGAGAAAGAUUUAUCGGAGAUGGAUGAGCCCGCGUUGGAUUAGCUAGUUGGUGGGGUAAAGGCCUACCAAGGCGACGAUCCAUAGCUGGUCUGAGAGGAUGAUCAGCCACACUGGGACUGAGACACGGCCCAGACUCCUACGGGAGGCAGCAGUGGGGAAUAUUGGACAAUGGGCGCAAGCCUGAUCCAGCCAUGCCGCGUGAGUGAUGAAGGCCCUAGGGUUGUAAAGCUCUUUCACCGGUGAUGAUAAUGACGGUAACCGGAGAAGAAGCCCCGGCUAACUUCGUGCCAGCCGCCGCGGUAAGAC